AUUGAACGCUGGCGGCAGGCCUAACACAUGCAAGUCGAGCGAGCGGCGGACGGGUGAGUAAUGUCUGGGAAACUGCCUGAUGGAGGGGGAUAACUACUGGAAACGGUAGCUAAUACCGCAUACCCUCAGAUGUGCCCAGAUGGGAUUAGCUAGUAGGUGGGGUAACGGCUCACCUAGGCGACGAUCCCUAGCUGGUCUGAGAGGAUGACACGCCAAACUGGAACUGAGACACGGUCCAGACUCCUACGGGAGGCAGCAGUGGGGAAUAUUGCACAAGGGGCGCAAGCCUGAGGCAGCCAGGCCGCGUGUGUGAAGAAGGCCUUCGGGUUGUAAAGCACUUUCAGCGGGGAGGCGUUACCCGCAGAAGAAGCACCGGCUAACUCCGUGCCAGCCGCCGCGGUAAUUC
rnacentral:rRNA from 1 species